UUAAGCGACUAAGCGUACACGGUGGAUGCCCUGGCAGUCAGAGGCGAUGAAGGACGUGCUAAUCUGCGAAAAGCGUCGGUAAGGUGAUAUGAACCGUUAUAACCGGCGAUGUCCGAAUGGGGAAACCCAGUGUGAUUCGUCACACUAUCGUUAACUGAAUACAUAGGUUAACGAGGCGAACCGGGGGAACUGAAACAUCUAAGUACCCCGAGGAAAAGAAAUCAACCGAGAUUCCCCCAGUAGCGGCGAGCGAACGGGGAGCAGCCCAGAGUCUGAAUCAGCUUGUGUGUUAGUGGAACGGUCUGGAAAGUCCGACGGUACAGGGUGAUAGUCCCGUACACCAAAAUGCACAGGUUGUGAACUCGAAGAGUAGGGCGGGACACGUGGUAUCCUGUCUGAAUAUGGGGGGACCAUCCUCCAAGGCUAAAUACUCCUGACUGACCGAUAGUGAACCAGUACCGUGAGGGAAAGGCGAAAAGAACCCCGGCGAGGGGAGUGAAAAAGAACCUGAAACCGUGUACGUACAAGCAGUGGGAGCACCUUCGGGUGUGACUGCGUACCUUUUGUAUAAUGGGUCAGCGACUUAUAUUCUGUAGCAAGGUUAACCGUAUAGGGGAGCCGCAGGGAAACCGAGUCUUAACUGGGCGUUAAGUUGCAGGGUAUAGACCCGAAACCCGGUGAUCUAGCCAUGGGCAGGUUGAAGGUUGGGUAACACUAACUGGAGGACCGAACCGACUAAUGUUGAAAAAUUAGCGGAUGACUUGUGGCUGGGGGUGAAAGGCCAAUCAAACCGGGAGAUAGCUGGUUCUCCCCGAAAGCUAUUUAGGUAGCGCCUCGUGAACUCAUCUUCGGGGGUAGAGCACUGUUUCGGCUAGGGGGUCAUCCCGACUUACCAACCCGAUGCAAACUACGAAUACCGAAGAAUGUUAUCACGGGAGACACACGGCGGGUGCUAACGUCCGUCGUGAAGAGGGAAACAACCCAGACCGCCAGCUAAGGUCCCAAAGUCAUGGUUAAGUGGGAAACGAUGUGGGAAGGCACAGACAGCCAGGAUGUUGGCUUAGAAGCAGCCAUCAUUUAAAGAAAGCGUAAUAGCUCACUGGUCGAGUCGGCCUGCGCGGAAGAUGUAACGGGGCUAAACCAUGCACCGAAGCUGCGGCAGCGACACUAUGUGUUGUUGGGUAGGGGAGCGUUCUGUAAGCCUGCGAAGGUGACCUGUGAGGGUUGCUGGAGGUAUCAGAAGUGCGAAUGCUGACAUAAGUAACGAUAAAGCGGGUGAAAAGCCCGCUCGCCGGAAGACCAAGGGUUCCUGUCCAACGUUAAUCGGGGCAGGGUGAGUCGACCCCUAAGGCGAGGCCGAAAGGCGUAGUCGAUGGGAAACAGGUUAAUAUUCCUGUACUUGGUGUUACUGCGAAGGGGGGACGGAGAAGGCUAUGUUAGCCGGGCGACGGUUGUCCCGGUUUAAGCAUGUAGGCUGGUUGUCCAGGCAAAUCCGGAUAAUCAAGGCUGAGGUGUGAUGACGAGGCACUACGGUGCUGAAGUAACAAAUGCCCUGCUUCCAGGAAAAGCCUCUAAGCAUCAGGUAACAUCAAAUCGUACCCCAAACCGACACAGGUGGUCAGGUAGAGAAUACCAAGGCGCUUGAGAGAACUCGGGUGAAGGAACUAGGCAAAAUGGUGCCGUAACUUCGGGAGAAGGCACGCUGGUGUGUAGGUGAAGUCCCUGCGGAUGGAGCUGAGACCAGUCGAAGAUACCAGCUGGCUGCAACUGUUUAUUAAAAACACAGCACUGUGCAAACACGAAAGUGGACGUAUACGGUGUGACGCCUGCCCGGUGCCGGAAGGUUAAUUGAUGGGGUUAUCCGUAAGGAGAAGCUCUUGAUCGAAGCCCCGGUAAACGGCGGCCGUAACUAUAACGGUCCUAAGGUAGCGAAAUUCCUUGUCGGGUAAGUUCCGACCUGCACGAAUGGCGUAAUGAUGGCCAGGCUGUCUCCACCCGAGACUCAGUGAAAUUGAACUCGCUGUGAAGAUGCAGUGUACCCGCGGCAAGACGGAAAGACCCCGUGAACCUUUACUAUAGCUUGACACUGAACAUUGAGCCUUGAUGUGUAGGAUAGGUGGGAGGCUUUGAAGCGUGGACGCCAGUCUGCGUGGAGCCAACCUUGAAAUACCACCCUUUAAUGUUUGAUGUUCUAACGUUGGCCCCUGACCGGGGUUGCGGACAGUGUCUGGUGGGUAGUUUGACUGGGGCGGUCUCCUCCCAAAGCGUAACGGAGGAGCACGAAGGUUAGCUAAUCCUGGUCGGACAUCAGGAGGUUAGUGCAAUGGCAUAAGCUAGCUUGACUGCGAGCGUGACGGCGCGAGCAGGUGCGAAAGCAGGUCAUAGUGAUCCGGUGGUUCUGAAUGGAAGGGCCAUCGCUCAACGGAUAAAAGGUACUCCGGGGAUAACAGGCUGAUACCGCCCAAGAGUUCAUAUCGACGGCGGUGUUUGGCACCUCGAUGUCGGCUCAUCACAUCCUGGGGCUGAAGUAGGUCCCAAGGGUAUGGCUGUUCGCCAUUUAAAGUGGUACGCGAGCUGGGUUUAGAACGUCGUGAGACAGUUCGGUCCCUAUCUGCCGUGGGCGCUGGAGAAUUGAGGGGGGCUGCUCCUAGUACGAGAGGACCGGAGUGGACGCAUCACUGGUGUUCGGGUUGUCAUGCCAAUGGCACUGCCCGGUAGCUAAAUGCGGAAGAGAUAAGUGCUGAAAGCAUCUAAGCACGAAACUUGCCCCGAGAUGAGUUCUCCCUGAGACUUUAAGUCUCCUGAAGGAACGUUAAAGACGAUGACGUUGAUAGGCCGGGUGUGUAAGCGCAGCGAUGCGUUGAGCUAACCGGUACUAAUGAACCGUGAGGCUUAACCUU
rnacentral:rRNA from 1 species